rnacentral:pre_miRNA from 14 species
AUUUUUCAUAUGUGAGUGCACUGUAGCUAUCUUCAGACACAUCAGAAGAGUGAAAGACCCCCGGAGUGGGGAGACCCUCACUCAAGUCUCGGGAUGAUGUGAACCCCCAAGAACUCACGUGAGACC